rnacentral:rRNA from 1 species
GGUAAGAGCUCAAAUUUGAAAGCUGGCCCCUUCGGGGUCCGCAUUGUAAUUUGCAGAGGAUGCUUCGGGAGCGGUCCCAUCUAAGUGCCCUGGAACGGGCCGUCAUAGAGGGUGAGAAUCCCGUAUGGGAUGGGGUGCCCGCGCCCGUGUGAAGCUCCUUCGACGAGUCGAGUUGUUUGGGAAUGCAGCUCUAAUUGGGUGGUAAAUUUCAUCUAAAGCUAAAUAUUGGCCGGAGACCGAUAGCGCACAAGUAGAGUGAUCGAAAGAUGAAAAGCACUUUGAAAAGAGAGUUAAAAAGCACGUGAAAUUGUUGAAAGGGAAGCGCUUGCGAUCAGACUCGCUCGCGGGGUUCAGCCGGCCUUCGGGCCGGUGUACUUCCCCGCGGGCGGGCCAGCGUCGGUUUGGGCGGCCGGUCAAAGGCCCCUGGAAUGUAACGCCUCUCGGGGCGUCUUAUAGCCAGGGGUGCCAUGCGGCCUGCCCGGACCGAGGAACGCGCUUCGGCUCGGACGCUGGCAUAAUGGUCGUAAGCGACCCGUCUUGAAACACGGACCAAGGAGUCUAACAUCUACGCGAGUGUUCGGGUGUCAAACCCGUGCGCGCAGUGAAAGCGAACGGAGGUGGGAACCCUUUGGGUGCACCAUCGACCGAUCCUGAUGUCUUCGGAUGGAUUUGAGUAAGAGCGUAGCUGUUGGGACCCGAAAGAUGGUGAACUAUGCCUGAAUAGGGCGAAGCCAGAGGAAACUCUGGUGGAGGCUCGCAGCGGUUCUGACGUGCAAAUCGAUCGUCAAAUUUGGGUAUAGGGGCGAAAGACUAAUCGAACCAUCUAGUA